ACACAUGCAGUCGAGCGGCAGCACAGAGAAACUUGUUUCUCGGGUGGCGAGCGGCGGACGGGUGAGUAAUGCCUGGGAAAUUGCCCUGAUGUGGGGGAUAACCAUUGGAAACGAUGGCUAAUACCGCAUAGUAGCUUCGGCUCAAAGAGGGGGACCUUCGGGCCUCUCGCGUCAGGAUAUGCCCAGGUGGGAUUAGCUAGUUGGUGAGGUAAUGGCUCACCAAGGCGACGAUCCCUAGCUGGUCUGAGAGGAUGAUCAGCCACACUGGAACUGAGACACGGUCCAGACUCCUACGGGAGGCAGCAGUGGGGAAUAUUGCACAAUGGGCGCAAGCCUGAUGCAGCCAUGCCGCGUGUGUGAAGAAGGCCUUCGGGUUGUAAAGCACUUUCAGUCGUGAGGAAGGUGGUAGUGUUAAUAGCACUAUCAUUUGACGUUAGCGACAGAAGAAGCACCGGCUAACUCCGUGCCAGCAGCCGCGGUAAUACGGAGGGUGCGAGCGUUAAUCGGAAUUACUGGGCGUAAAGCGCAUGCAGGUAGUUUGUUAAGUCAGAUGUGAAAGCCCGGGGCUCAACCUCGGAAUAGCAUUUGAAACUGGCAAGCUAGAGUACUGUAGAGGGGGGGCAGAAUUUCACGUGUAGCGGUGAAAUGCGUAGAGAUCUGAAGGA
rnacentral:rRNA from 1 species